GGAUGAACGCUGGCGGCGUGCCUAAUACAUGCAAGUCGAGCGAACUGAUUAGAAGCUUGCUUCUAUGACGUUAGCGGCGGACGGGUGAGUAACACGUGGGCAACCUGCCUGUAAGACUGGGAUAACUUCGGGAAACCGAAGCUAAUACCGGAUAGGAUCUUCUCCUUCAUGGGAGAUGAUUGAAAGAUGGUUUCGGCUAUCACUUACAGAUGGGCCCGCGGUGCAUUAGCUAGUUGGUGAGGUAACGGCUCACCAAGGCAACGAUGCAUAGCCGACCUGAGAGGGUGAUCGGCCACACUGGGACUGAGACACGGCCCAGACUCCUACGGGAGGCAGCAGUAGGGAAUCUUCCGCAAUGGACGAAAGUCUGACGGAGCAACGCCGCGUGAGUGAUGAAGGCUUUCGGGUCGUAAAACUCUGUUGUUAGGGAAGAACAAGUACRAGAGUAACUGCUYGUACCUUGACGGUACCUAACCAGAAAGCCACGG
rnacentral:rRNA from 2 species